UUGAUGACUGAAGCAGAGGAGCAACAAUGGCGUCCAUCCACUCAUACAUAAUAUGCAUGAAGCCGACACCAGACCACUGCGGUGAGCGCCAAUAUAAGGCCACGAAAGUCAGCUCUUUGAAUUGCACCAUUCUUUUUAAGCUAUUACGACUUUAAUCUGGUGUACCAAAGGCAAGCAUCUUGUACACUGGAAUUCAUUCAAAGAUAUUUCAUUGGAAUCAACCCAACCAGUGUCACUGAGACGGCAAAGCUGGUAAGCCAAAGAAGUGGGAAGGUGCAUGAGAAGAACAACUCAGUCAAUCCUCACGCAACCUCUCUCCUCAGAUUAAUAGACUUGAAUGGCUGUGAGUAUGUUUCAUUGGAAUCAACCCAACCAGUGGCACAGAGACAGCAAAGCUGAUCAGCAGAAGAAGUAGGAAGGUGCAUGAAAAGAACAACUUAGUCAAUCCUCACAUCUCCUCUUUCCUCAGGCGAUUAAUGGACUUUGAAUGGCUUUGAGCAUAAGUCAUAUGCAAAAGAUGAGGACUCUUCUCUUCCCCACUAUAUGAAUGGAAAUUGUUCUUAAUCUUUUACUUACACCUGUUGCUUAUAUCUGAAGACACACUAUAAAAAGGUCAUGUUUUAUAUAGUUAAAGCUACAGUUAUUGGAAUCAGUGAAGGCUGAUUUAGUUGAGGAUUUUUUGGACUGAACUGUCAAAAAAUAUGGAAUGAAAAUGCAAUUUAAUGGUUGAAUCUGUGGCUGGCCCAACUUGCUAUAAAUUACACACACAUCCAGCAUUAAAAUGAUAGUUCAGAUUCCUACCCCUAUAGUGGUACUUGAUGGUCCAUGUGAGUGUAAUAUAUCCACCAAAUCUGGUCCAUUAACUCCUUAUCUGUCAUGAGAACCGACCAAAUGGACCACACUUUCAUACUCGCAAAGAGCAGCAAAUACCACUAUAUGAGUAAGAAUCCGAACUAUCACUUUAAAGUCAGCUGGUUAAUGUUUUAUCUGAUAUUAAUUGCAGCUUUAAAAGGGUAAGAAGUCAUUGCUGUAGUGUGGUUUAAUGAGACAUUUUGUUAAUCAACUUACUUUUCAACAUGACAGUAUCUGAUCAGUAUAAUUUAGAUUAGGGCUGUGCGAUAUGAAGAUAUAUGUCAUGUGACAGUAGAAAAACGUCUAUUGUUUCACAUUAUGCUGUAUCGUUUAUUUCAUUGGCGCAAAUCACACUCUUUAUGGCAAUAUUUUUCAUCAUUUUGAGUCUGUCCCUCA